GACGAACGCUGGCGGCGUGCUUAACACAUGCAAGUCGAACGGAAAGGCCCUGCUUUUGUGGGGUGCUCGAGUGGCGAACGGGUGAGUAACACGUGAGUAACCUGCCCUUGACUUUGGGAUAACUUCAGGAAACUGGGGCUAAUACCGGAUAGGAGCUCCUGCUGCAUGGUGGGGGUUGGAAAGUUUCGGCGGUUGGGGAUGGACUCGCGGCUUAUCAGCUUGUUGGUGGGGUAGUGGCUUACCAAGGCUUUGACGGGUAGCCGGCCUGAGAGGGUGACCGGCCACAUUGGGACUGAGAUACGGCCCAGACUCCUACGGGAGGCAGCAGUGGGGAAUAUUGCACAAUGGGCGGAAGCCUGAUGCAGCAACGCCGCGUGCGGGAUGACGGCCUUCGGGUUGUAAACCGCUUUCGCCUGUGACGAAGCGUGAGUGACGGUAAUGGGUAAAGAAGCACCGGCUAACUACGUGCCAGCAGCCGCGGUGAUACGUAGGGUGCGAGCGUUGUCCGGAUUUAUUGGGCGUAAAGGGCUCGUAGGUGGUUGAUCGCGUCGGAAGUGUAAUCUUGGGGCUUAACCCUGAGCGUGCUUUCGAUACGGGUUGACUUGAGGAAGGUAGGGGAGAAUGGAAUUCCUGGUGGAGCGGUGGAAUGCGCAGAUAUCAGGAGGAACACCAGUGGCGAAGGCGGUUCUCUGGGCCUUUCCUGACGCUGAGGAGCGAAAGCGUGGGGAGCGAACAGGCUUAGAUACCCUGGUAGUCCACGCUGUAAACGGUGGGUACUAGGUGUGGGGUCCAUUCCACGGGUUCCGUGCCGUAGCUAACGCUUUAAGUACCCCGCCUGGGGAGUACGGCCGCAAGGCUAAAGCUCAAAGGAAUUGACGGGGCCCCGCACAAGCGGCGGAGCAUGCGGAUUAAUUCGAUGCAACGCGUAGAACCUUACCUGGGUUUGACAUGGAUCGGGAGUGCUCAGAGAUGGGUGUGCCUCUUUUGGGGUCGGUUCACAGGUGGUGCAUGGCUGUCGUCAGCUCGUGUCGUGAGAUGUUGGGUUAAGUCCCGCAACGAGCGCAACCCUUGUUCACUGUUGCCAGCACGUUAUGGUGGGGACUCAGUGGAGACCGCCGGGGUCAACUCGGAGGAAGGUGGGGAUGACGUCAAGUCAUCAUGCCCCUUAUGUCCAGGGCUUCACGCAUGCUACAAUGGCUGGUACAGAGAGUGGCGAGCCUGUGAGGGUGAGCGAAUCUCGGAAAGCCGGUCUCAGUUCGGAUUGGGGUCUGCAACUCGACCUCAUGAAGUCGGAGUCGCUGGUAAUCGCAGAUCAGCAACGCUGCGGUGAAUACGUUCCCGGG
rnacentral:rRNA from 1 species